rnacentral:rRNA from 1 species
AGUAAAAGUCGUAACAAGGUCGCUGUAGGUGAACCUGCAGCGGGAUCAUUACCGGGAGUGAGGCGAGGGGCCCCCCCCUCCGCCUCGGGAGCCAACCGCUCCAACUCUUCACCCUGUGGUGACCCCGGGCGGGCGCUUCGCGCGGCCGCCGGCGNCGACUACUAUUCGUUGUAUCCGUGCCGUCCGAGCAAGAAUCGAAAUCGUACAAAACUUUCAACAACGGAUCUCUUGGUUCUGGCAUCGAUGAAGAACGCAGCGAAAUGCGAUAAGUAAUGUGAAUUGCAGAAUUCAGCGAAUCAUCGAAUCUUUGAACGCACAUUGCGCCCCCCGGCAUUCCGGGGGGCAUGCCUGUCCGAGCGUCAUUGCACCCCUCGAGCCCGGGCGGCUUGGUGUUGGGCCCCGCCCCCCCCCGUCCACGCCGGACGGNGGGCGCGCCCGAAAAAGCAGUGGCGGCCCCGGGGGCGACUCACGCGCAGUAACAGUGUUCGCGGACGAAGUGUUUGCCCGCGGCCCUGCCAGGCAACCCCUCAUUCGUUUUCACGGUUGACCUCGGAUCAGGUAGGGAUACCCGCUGAACUUAAGCAUAUCAAUAAGCGGAGGAAAAGAAACCAACAGGGAUUGCCUCAGUAACGGCGAGUGGAGCGGCAACAGCUCAAAUUUGAAAUCUGACCCCGUCGGGGCCCGAGUUGUAAUUUGCAGAGGGUGCUUCGGGCGCGGCGCCGGUCUAAGUGCCUUGGAACAGGACGUCGCAGAGGGUGAGAACCCCGUGCGCGGCCGGCCGCCCACCCCGGGUGAAGCCCCUUCGACGAGUCGAGUUGUUUGGGAAUGCAGCUCUAAACGGGUGGUAAAUUUCAUCUAAAGCUAAAUACCGGCCAGAGACCGAUAGCGCACAAGUAGAGUGAUCGAAAGAUGAAAAGCACUUUGGAAAGAGAGUUAAACAGCACGUGAAAUUGUUGAAAGGGAAGCGCUUGCCGCCAGACCUGCCCGCGGGCGCUCACCCGCCAUUCGUGGCGGGGCACUCGCCCGCGACCAGGCCAGCACGGGUUCGGGCGGCGGGAGAAAGGGCCCGGGAAUGUAGCUCCCUUCGGGGUGCCUUAUAGCCCGGGCCGCCAUGCCGCUCGCCCGGACCGAGGACCGCGCUCCGGCGAGGGUGCUGGCGUAAUGGCGGCAAGCGACC